rnacentral:piRNA from 1 species
UCCAGCAGUUUGCCAGAUGUUACCUAAACAGU